GGGGAUGUAGCUCAGUAGUAGAGCACUUGCCUAGUGUUUGUGAUGCCCUGGGUUCAAUCCACAGCAACACCA
rnacentral:tRNA from 1 species